UGGGGAAUUGUUCGCAAUGGGCGCAAGCCUGACGACGCAACGCCGCGUGGAGGACGAAGAUCUUCGGGUCGUAAACUCCUGUCGAGCGGGACGAACACCCAUCCGGUGAACAACCGGAAGGGCUGACGGUACCGCUAAAGGAAGCCCCGGCUAACUCCGUGCCAGCAGCCGCGGUAAUACGGGGGGGGCAAGCGUUGUUCGGAAUUACUGGGCGUAAAGGGCUCGUAGGCGGCCAACUAAGUCCGACGUGAAAUCCCCAGGCUUAACCUGGGAACUGCGUCGGAUACUGGAUGGCUUGAAUUCGGGAGAGGGAUGCAGAAUUCCAGGUGUAGCGGUGAAAUGCGUAGAUAUCUGGAGGAAUACCGGUGGCGAAGGCGGCAUCCUGGACCGACAUUGACGCUGAUGAGCGAAAGCUAGGGGAGCAAACGGG
rnacentral:rRNA from 1 species